rnacentral:misc_RNA from 1 species
GGAAGGAUCAUUAAUGUAACAUCCGAAAAAGGAGACGCUUCGGCUCUCUUUAUUUCUUAGCCAAACCGUGGAUCUGUCGCGAUUCACUCGAUACUCACUUCGGUGAGGGACGCUGCACAUCCACCUGACGGGGUGUGGGGACGCCGCCUGACGAGGCGAAUAAAAUUGUCCCACCGCAGUCGUCCAUUUUUUUUUAAACUUUGUGGAAGCAGGCAAAAUCGGCAAGUCCCACCUUUUUUGAGUGUGGGACUUUGGCAUUUUUUUUAAAAUCGACGAGCUGGAGAUUUUUUUUUUAAAAAAGAUUCAACCGUUUACAGUGGAUGACUUGGCUUGUGCAUCGAUGAAGAGCGUAGCAAACUGCGAUAAUUAGUGUGACUUGCAGAUUCCUGUGAUUCAUCAAGUUCUUGAACGCACCCUGCACGUAAAGGUCAACUUUACGUGUGCCUGGUUGAGUGUGGUCUUUUAUUUAUCUCUCCCAUUCAAUCUCCCGCGAUGGGAUCGAUUGUUUCGCGUGAGAGGCUGCUGUGAAUCGAUCUCUCAAAGGGAGCAUUGUUUCAUUAAUUCAGUGGGGAGGCAAAACUGUCGAUUUUUAUUAUCAAUGAACCAAUAAACCAAAAAAUUGGGAAAUCUCUGAUUUUUAUUUUGGUUUUAUGGCGAGAGAAAAAAAACAAAGACGUCGCAUUUUUCCCCACCUCAAUUCCGCAUCUUGUAUGCGGAGAAACAAAAACUUUGCCACCUCAACUCAGACACGAUUACCCCCUGAACUUAAGCAUAUCAAUAAGGGGAGGAAAAGAAACCAACAGGGAUUCCCUCAGUAACUGCGAGUGAAGCGGGAAACAGCUCAAGCUGAAAUCUAGAGCAGUCUCUGCUCUCGAAUUGUGGUGUCUGGAAUGUUGUCUGUUCGAGAGUGCAGAAUGAAGUGCCCUGGAACGGGUCGCCACAGAGGGUGACAGCCCCGUAAAUUCUGCAUCCGUUGGACUACACGUCAACAAUUCUCAGAGUCGGAAUGUUUGGGAGUACAUUCCAAAGUGGGAGGUAAAUUUCUUCUAAAGCUAAAUAUUGGCACAAGACCGAUAGCAAACAAGUAGCGUGAGCGAAAGUUGCAAAGAACUUUGAAAAGAGAGUUAAAAGUACCUGAAACUGUUCACGGGGAAGCGUUUGAUCUCGCUUUCUGGACCUGGUGGCUCAUCUUUUUUACAGGACCCGUUUGAUGUCGCGAGCGAUCGUUGUAUUCGCCUCUGCGUCUUUCAGGUCUUGUUCAAUGGGAGCAUUCUGUCAGGUUCGACCAAUGUGGGUGAGGGCUGGGUUAAAAAGGUUGCGAUUCGGUGCUCAGUUGUACAGUUCGGCUGUGCCGCUGGGAUUACAAUCGCAGUUGUAUGACUCGGCCUUCACCAAGGGAAAAAGCCGUGCGGUGCGAUAUGUUAUGCGUCUCUGUGUGAUCGUCUCGAGGAAUACAGUUUACUGUGGUCUUUGGCACUGUUGCACACUCGGAUUUGGCAAUAUCAUUCGGUUUAUGGACAUUGGAAAAAUGGGGUUUAACGUCCCGUCUUGAAACACGGACUAAGGAGUCUAACAUGUAUGCGAGGUGAAGGGUGAUAAACCUGUAAUCGCAAUGAAAGUGAAUUGUAGGACGACGGCUCUCGGGCCGCUCUGCACUACAGACCGGUCAAAGGAUCUCGGUUCUUGACUGAGUCGGAGUAUACCUGUUAGGACCCGAAAGGUUGCGAACUUUGCUUGUGUAGGGUGAAGCCAGACGAAAGUCUGGUGGAGGCUCGUAGCGGUACUAACGUGCAAAUUGUUCGUCGAACAUGAGUAAAGCGGCGAAAGACUAAUCGAGCAGCCUAGUAGCUGGUUCCUUC